rnacentral:lncRNA from 1 species
UUACUGCUAAGUGGUUUACAGAGCCAAAACCAUUCUCAGCGAAGUGCCCAAGGAGCUGGGAGGGAACAGAAUUAGAACAGCUGACUUUCACUGGUUAGAGGGAUAUCUCAUACCAUAUGACAUCCAGCAGAAGGAGUUUUGAAGGAGGUAGGAGUUCAUCUCUCUCUUCUGCUGCUCGGGAGGCUAGCUGGGAAUCAAUCGUCUGUCUCAGGUACUGCAAUUGGUGGAUGGAAUAAGGACUUGUUAUGGGAGUCUUUUGGAGUGUAGCAAGCAAUACCUAUGUACAAAUAGUUACAAGAUUUGAAGCUCCAAAACAGCAAGCCAGCGAGGAUGAUUAUCUCAUUCAUUUCCUGUAGUUGCUGACAAGUUGGUCCAAUGGACACUCACAUAGGAACAGAAAGAAGACUAUAUGCAAGUUUCUCAGGACCUAUGGAACAAAUAAGAGGUUGCAGGUGGAAGUUUCCUGGAUUGCAUCAUUACCAGUGAUGACAUGUGGUGUCACCCCUAAGAGCUGGAGUCAAAACAGUAGUCCAUGAAGUGCCAGCACGUGAAUUCCCAUCAAGAAAAAAAGUACAAGAGUCAACCUCAGCAGGCUCCCUACAAGUAUUGGAAGGCCACAGUGAGGUUUCCCAGGAGACUUCUCCAAGCUAAACAAGCCCAGUUCCCUCAACCUUUCCUCACAGGAGAGGGGCUCCAGCCCUCUGAUCAUCUCUGUGGCCCUCCUCCAAACCCGCUCCAAGAACUCCAUGUCCUUCCUGUACUGGGGACCCCAGGCCUGGACACAGUACUCCAGAUGGGGCCUCACAAGACCCGAGUAGAGGGG